CUCUGCGCCUCUUGUUACAAGCCAAAAGUUCCUAUUGAUUUUCCCAAAUUACUCAUUACCCAGCAUCUCUUCCUUAAUUUUGUUUCUCGUUCUAGUCGAAACAGGCAUAUCUUCUUCUUGGAUUGCUGAGUAUCGGAAACUCCUCUUUUUUGAGAACUGUGUAGCAGCUGCCUGCGCGCCAGCUAUAGCAGCAUCAAGACUCCGUG
rnacentral:misc_RNA from 1 species